rnacentral:rRNA from 1 species
UACGGGGGGGGCAAGCGUUGUUCGGAAUUACUGGGCGUAAAGGGCUCGUAGGCGGCCAACUAAGUCAGACGUGAAAUCCCUCGGCUUAACCGGGGAACUGCAUCUGAUACUGGAUGGCUUGAGUUCGGGAGAGGGAUGUGGAAUUCCAGGUGUAGCGGUGAAAUGCGUAGAUAUCUGGAGGAACACCGGUGGCGAAGGCGGCAUCCUGGACCGACACUGACGCUGAUGAGCGAAAGCCAGGGGAGC